UACAGAGGUCCCAAGCGUUGUUCGGAUUUACUGGGCGUAAAGGGUGCGUAGGUGGUCGGGUAAGUUUGAUGUGAAAUCUCCGGGCUUAACCCGGAAAAUGCAUUGAAUACUAUUCGGCUUGAGGGUUGGAGGGGGGACUGGAAUUCUCGGUGUAGCAGUGAAAUGCGUAGAUAUCGGGAGGAACACCUGUGGCGAAAGCGGCGCACUGGACCAUAACUGACGCUGAGGCGCGAAAGCUAGGGGAGCAAACAGG
rnacentral:rRNA from 1 species